rnacentral:rRNA from 1 species
GACAUAGGUGGCAAACGUUAUCCGGAAUUACUGGGCGUAAAGUGUGCGUAGGUGGUUUAACAAGUUACUGGUGGCAAAUCGGGGCCCAACCCCGUGGAAGUUGGUAAUACUGUUGAACUAGAGGAUCGGAGAGGUUAACGGAAUUCUAUGUGUAGCGGUAAAAUGCUCAAAUAUAUAGAGGAACACCAAACGGCGAAGGCAGUUAACUAUUCGAUGCCUGACGUUGAGGCACGAAAGCGUGGGGAGCAAGACGG